CUGACAUCUCUUUAUCAAAUUUAGAUUGCUAAAAUUAUAAACUGAGUCCUAGGAAGAAGCUGGGCUGUGGAAGUCCCAGUGGGCUGGAAUUGGUCACUCAUGGUAUGCACUGUCUAAUGAGAUGAAUAUUGGUAAAAAUCAAUGGAUAUUGAUUCAAUAUGGUCAUGUUGGGAAUGAGAGAAGAAAUCCUGUCAUCCCUUCAGCCAGCUCUGUAGUACUGACUUCACCGUUAAGCUCUAGGAGACAAAGACUUAGGGCAGGAUAGGAAGUGUGCAUAAUGUCCUGGUCAAGGCGUGGUCGGAUGAGGAUUUUCUUAGCUCUAGUUCUGAGCAAUGGCCCAAGUACUCUUUGUGGCUGUCAUCACUUGGGGCUCCAAGUUGGUUUGUAGCAGAUAAGCCCUUUCACUUCAAAGUUAAAUCAUAACUUCAUGGAUAAUUACCUUUGGCUCUGUCCUUAGAGGCUUCAUAAACCUGAAAAUCUGCAGGUUUUCAGCACGAAGCUAGAAGGACAAUAUAUUUUGUUCUGUGCCUCUAGAUACAUCUAAAUCACCAUGAUAAAUACCUGAUUUGAUUCCAAGUGAAGAUUUCAUGUUGUUUAAGAAAAGCAACUUAAAAAUGUUUUAAACUCAUGUUCAUUAAAGCAGGAAUCUGCUGCCCACCAGACGGCUCUUGCACCUGAAAAAUAUUACUGCUUUGAACUCUGACAGUGGAGAGUUUGGGAAAAUUGUACUCAUAUCUUCAUAUCUAUUUUGGAAUCACAUGCCAUGGGAAUGCAGAAUACAGCUCCACGAAACUUCUGCCACACCAACUGAACAUAUUGGCAGAACACAGAAGAAGAGAAGGAAGAAGUUAAUGAUUUUCUUACAAUGGCUUAAGUGUUCUCAGAAUGAAGAAAGUACAGAGACAAAGGAUGACUACGAGAAUGAAGAGGAGCAGGAGGAAGAUGAGCAGGAGGAGGGAGAACAAGAAAGGAAGAACUAA
rnacentral:lncRNA from 1 species